CGUGGAGACAGGUGGUGCAUGGCUGUCGUCAGCUCGUGUCGUGAGAUGUUGGGUUAAGUCCCGCAACGAGCGCAACCCUCACCCCUAGUUGCCACCGGGUUAAGCCGAGCACUCAAGGGGAACUGCCAGCGUCAAGCUGGAGGAAGGCGGGGAUGACGUCAAGUCAUCAUGCCCCUUACGCCCUGGGCUACACACGUGCUACAAUGGCCAGUACAAAGGGACGCGAGACUGCGAAGUGGAGCUAAUCCCAAAAAGCUGGUCUAAGUUCAGAUUGCAGUCUGCAACUCGACUGCAUGAAGGAGGAAUCGCUAGUAAUCGCGUAUCAGCCCGGCGUGGUGAAUACGUUCCCGGGCCUUGUACACACCGCCCGUCACACCACGAAAGCUGUCUGUACUCGAAGUCGCUGAG
rnacentral:rRNA from 1 species